AUUGAACGCUGGCGGCAGGCCUAACACAUGCAAGUCGAACGGUAGCACAGAGAGCUUGCUCUCGGGUGACGAGUGGCGGACGGGUCAGUAAUGUCUGGGAAACUGCCCGAUGGAGGGGGAUAACUACUGGAAACGGUAACUAAUACCGCAUAACGUCUUCGGACCAAAGUGGGGGACCUUCGGGCCUCACACCAUCGGAUGUGCCCAGAUGGGAUUAGCUAGUAGGUGGGGUAAUGGCUCACCUAGGCGACGAUCCCUAGCUGGUCUGAGAGGAUGACCAGCCACACUGGAACUGAGACACGGUCCAGACUCCUACGGGAGGCAGCAGUGGGGAAUAUUGCACAAUGGGCGCAAGCCUGAUGCAGCCAUGCCGCGUGUAUGAAGAAGGCCUUCGGGUUGUAAAGUACUUUCAGCGGGGAGGAAGGCGUUAAGGUUAAUAACCUUGGCGAUUGACGUUACCCGCAGAAGAAGCACCGGCUAACUCCGUGCCAGCCGCCGCCGUAAAAC
rnacentral:rRNA from 1 species